rnacentral:lncRNA from 1 species
AUUUUGUACAUUUGGUGUUCUGUAAGCCUCUUGUAUUUGGUUUUCCAAUUUGCUCUUCAUGCUUUGGAAAUUUUCUGAUAUUAUUUCAUUGAAGAGAUUGUGCAUUCCUUUUGUUUGUAUCUCUGUGCCUUCCUCUAUCCCAAUAAUUCUUAGAUUUGGUCUUUUCAUGUUGGCUCAUAAUUCUUGAAGGUUCUGUUCAUGGUUUCUCACCAUCUUCACUGUGUUGUCAACUUUAUUUUCAAGAUUAUAUAUUUUGUCUUCAUUGCCUGAGAUUCUGUCUUCCAAGUGAUCUAGUCUGUUGUUGAUGUUUUCUAUUGAAUUUUUUAUUUGAUUUAUUGUAUCCUUCAUUUCAAAUAUUUCUGACUUUUUUUUUCAGGGACUCUAUCUCUCUCUUGAAGUAAUCUUUUGCUACCUGUAUUUCCUCUCUUAUGUUUUUGUUGGAGUGGCCAAUUGUUGCCCUUAUUUCCUUUCUUAAUUCAUUCUUUGCUUUGCAGAUCAUUUUAAUUAUGCACAUUCUGGACUCCUUCUCUGAUACUUCAUCUACUGUACAGUUAAUAGAAUCUAUUAUUGCAUCAGCUUGGUUUCUUUUGGGCAAUUUCUGAAUAUCUUCCUCUCUAGCAGUAUCCAUUCGAGGUAUUACAGUUUCUAUUUUAUAAUCUUGGAGUAUCCCUACAGGUUACCAGUACCUUGCCUACAGGAACCAGGAUGAUGGUCUUGUAGGUCCUGGCUGUUGUCACUAGAUGGAAGCUGGAGAGGAAGCUGAAGCUACCAUGUUGGUAGAUGGGGUUGCUCUACUGCAUGCAGUGGGCUGGGGUCACAGUCCUCUGCUGCUCCUCCUUCUGCACAGCAGGUGGCUGAGAGAAUGUUUUAUAAAAUUAGUGUUGAUUUUGUUGGCUUUCCUAGUAUUCACUUUCUGCAUGUCUUUUGGAUCUUGGGUUCAUUUGUUUGUUUUAAAUGGCAUCUUUCUGUGUCUCUUUUACUUCCCCUCCCUCUCCUCCUUUGUGCACAUAUCUCCUUUCUGGUUGUUUUGUGGAGGUAUCACCUGCAUCCCUACAACAUGGUAUAAUGUGCAUCGCCUUGUCUAAAAAUGGCAAUGAAUGCUUCUCAGCAUGGUGGCACAUACUUGUCAGCAAUUAGAUCUUGUCCCAAAAUAAAACAAUAAAAAUGUCUGGGGAUGUUGCUCAGUAGUAAAGUGCCUCCGGAUUCAACUCCAGUACCCCCCACACCCCAAACAACAA